rnacentral:misc_RNA from 1 species
CCGAGUUUACAACUCCCAAACCCUGUGAACAUACCUUUAUGUGCCUCGGCGGAUCAGCCCGCGCCCCGUAAAACGGGACGGCCCGCCGCAGGAAACCCUAAACUCUGUUUUAGUGGAACUUCUGAGUAUAAAAAACAAAUAAAUCA